rnacentral:ncRNA from 2 species
UACAAUUGAACGGGGAGCCUGCGAACAGGCUGAGAGGAAAGCAACCGGCUUUCGACCCGUAUGACCUGAUCCGGAUAAUGCCGGCGGAGGCAAAAUAGGCUGCACUUAUG